rnacentral:rRNA from 1 species
AUUGAACGCUGGCGGCAUGCCUUACACAUGCAAGUCGAACGGCAGCGUGGAGAGCUUGCUCUCUGAUGGCGAGUGGCGAACGGGUGAGUAAAGCAUCGGAACGUACCGUGUAGUGGGGGAUAACGUAGCGAAAGUUACGCUAAUACCGCAUACGCACUGAGGUGGAAAGCAGGGGAUCGCAAGACCUUGCGCUAUACGAGCGGCCGAUGUCAGAUUAGCUAGUUGGUAGGGUAAAGGCCUACCAAGGCGACGAUCGGUAGCGGGUCUGAGAGGAUGAUCCGCCACACUGGGACUGAGACGCGGCCCAGAAUCCUACGGGAGGCAGCAGUGGGGAAUUUUGGACAAUGGGGGCAACCCUGAUCCAGCCAUGCCACGUGAGUGAAGAAGGCCUUCGGGUUGUAAAGCUCUUUCGGCCGGGAAGAAAUCGCACAGGCUAAUACUCUGUGUGGAUGACGGUACCGGCAUAAGAAGCACCGGCUAACUACGUGCCAGCAGCCGCCGUAA